AGGUUAAGUUAACAAGGGCGCAUGGUGAAUGCCUUGGCACUAGGAGCCGAUGAAGGACGGGACUAACACCGAUAUGCUUCGGGGAGCUGUACGUAAGCUAUGAUCCGGAGAUUUCCGAAUGGGGCAACCCAGCAGUUUUAAUCAACUGUUACCACUAGAUGAAUUCAUAGUCUAGUUGGAGGUAAACGCUGUGAACUGAAACAUCUCAUUAGCAGCAGGAAUAUAAAGAAAUUUCGAUUCCCUAAGUAGCGGCGAGCGAACGGGGAACAGCCCAAACCAAAGUGCUUGCACUCUGGGGUUGUAGGACUGAACAUUUGAGUUACCAAAGAACUUGAUAGUCGAAGGAUUUGGGAAAAUCCGCCAUAGAUGGUGAUAGCCCAGUAGAUUAAAUCAAAUUCUCUCAGUUCAGGAUCCUGAGUACGGCGGAACACGUGAAAUUCCGUCGGAAUCCGGGAGGACCAUCUCCCAAGGCUAAAUACUACCUAGUGACCGAUAGUGAACCAGUACCGUGAGGGAAAGGUGAAAAGCACCCCGGGAGGGGAGUGAAAUAGUUCCUGAAACCAUGUGCCUACAAUAAGUCAGAGCGCGUUAAUGCGUGAUGGCGUGCCUUUUGUAGAAUGAACCGGCGAGUUAUGAUCCCGUGCAAGGUUAAGACUAAAAAGUCGGAGCCGUAGCGAAAGCGAGUCUGAAAUGGGCGUUUUGAGUACGAGGUUAUAGACCCGAAACCAGGUGACCUAUCCAUGUCCAGGUUGAAGGUGCGGUAAAACGCACUGGAGGACCGAACCCGUGUAAGUUGAAAAUUGCUGGGAUGAGGUGUGGAUAGCGGUGAAAUUCCAAACGAACUUGGAGAUAGCUGGUUCUCUCCGAAAUAGCUUUAGGGCUAGCCUCGGAAUUAGGAUCAUGGAGGUAGAGCACUAUUUGGACUAGGGGCCCGUCUUGGGUUACUGAAUUCAGAUAAACUCCGAAUGCCAUUGAUUCAUAUCCGGGAGUCAGACGAUGAGUGAUAAGAUCCACCGUCGAAAGGGGAACAGCCCAGACCAUCAGUUAAGGUCCCUAAAUGUAUGCUAAGUGGAAAAGGAUGUGGAGUUGCAUAGACAACUAGGAUGUUGGCUCAGAAGCAGCCACCAUUUAAAGAGUGCGUAAUAGCUCACUAGUCGAGUGAUCCUGCGCCGAAAAUGUACCGGGGCUAAGCAUACUACCGAAACCAUGGAUGCGACCAUUAGGUCGCGUGAUAGGAGAGCGUUCUAAGGGCGGUGAAGCAAGAUCGUGAGGACUUGUGGAGCGCUUAGAAGUGAGAAUGCCGGUAUGAGUAGCGAAAGAUAGGUGAGAAUCCUAUCCACCGAAUGACUAAGGUUUCCUGGGGAAGGCUCGUCCUCCCAGGGUUAGUCGGGACCUAAGUCGAGGCCGAGAGGCGUAGACGAUGGAUAACAGGUUGAGAUUCCUGUACUAGUUAAGUGCGUUUGAGCAAUGGAGGGACGCAGGAGGCUAAGAUGUGCAUUCUGUUGGAUUAGAAUGUCCAAGCAGUAAGUCUUGUGAAGAGUCAAAUGCUUUUCACUUUAAGGACAAGCUGUGAUGGGGAGCGAAAUUUAGUAGCGAAGCGUCUGAUGUCACACUGCCGAGAAAAGCUUCUAGUGAGUACUUAACUACCCGUACCGCAAACCGACACAGGUAGUCGAGGAGAGAAUCCUAAGGUGAGCGAGUGAACUCUCGUUAAGGAACUCGGCAAAAUGACCCCGUAACUUCGGGAGAAGGGGUGCUGAUCGCAAGAUCAGCCGCAGUGAAUAGGCCCAGGCGACUGUUUAUCAAAAACACAGGUCUCUGCAAAAUCGUAAGAUGACGUAUAGGGGCUGACGCCUGCCCGGUGCUGGAAGGUUAAAAGGAUGGGUUAGCUUCGGCGAAGCUCAGAAUUGAAGCCCCAGUAAACGGCGGCCGUAACUAUAACGGUCCUAAGGUAGCGAAAUUCCUUGUCGGGUAAGUUCCGACCCGCACGAAAGGCGUAACGAUCUGGGCACUGUCUCAACGAGAGACUCGGUGAAAUUAUAUUGUCCGUGAAGAUGCGGACUACCCGCGACAGGACGGAAAGACCCCAUGGAGCUUUACUGUAGCUUGAUAUUGAGUGUUUGUACAGCUUGUACAGGAUAGGUAGGAGCCAUAGAAACCGGAACGCUAGUUUCGGUGGAGGCGUUGGUGGGAUACUACCCUCGCUGUAUGACCACUCUAACCCGCACCACUAAUCGUGGUGGGAGACAGUGUCAGGUGGGCAGUUUGACUGGGGCGGUCGCCUCCUAAAAAGUAACGGAGGCGCCCAAAGGUUCCCUCAGAAUGGUUGGAAAUCAUUCGCAGAGUGUAAAGGCACAAGGGAGCUUGACUGCGAGACAGACAGGUCGAGCAGGGACGAAAGUCGGGCUUAGUGAUCCGGUGGUACCGUAUGGAAGGGCCAUCGCUCAACGGAUAAAAGCUACCCUGGGGAUAACAGGCUUAUCUCCCCCAAGAGUCCACAUCGACGGGGAGGUUUGGCACCUCGAUGUCGGCUCAUCGCAUCCUGGGGCUGUAGUCGGUCCCAAGGGUUGGGCUGUUCGCCCAUUAAAGCGGUACGCGAGCUGGGUUCAGAACGUCGUGAGACAGUUCGGUCCCUAUCCGUCGCGGGCGUAGGAAAUUUGAGAGGACCUGUCCUUAGUACGAGAGGACCGGGAUGGACAUACCUCUGGUGUACCAGUUGUGCCGCCAGGCGCAUCGCUGGGUAGCUACGUAUGGAUGUGAUAAACGCUGAAAGCAUCUAAGUGUGAAACACACCUCGAGAUGAGAUUUCCCAUUCCUUUAUGGAAGUAAGACCCCUGAAAGAUGAUCAGGUAGAUAGGUUAGAAGUGGCAGUGCGGUGACGCAUGAAGCGGACUAAUACUAAUCGGUCGAGGACUUAACCAAG
rnacentral:rRNA from 1 species